GAUUUUUUUUAUAUUUAUUUUAUUUAUUCACUUAUUUUUGAGUGGACGUGAUUGUACCACCACCUCUUCAUAAGCAACAGCUCCACCACCGCCUGCUUUUUGCUUUGCCCAGGGUUUCUGAGCCCCAGGGAUCUCCCUCCUGGUGUUUCCCUCCCUCACAGCCAGGCCCAGGCCACCUCGAAGCUCCCGCUGGCGGCUGGCACCCCUUGGCCCACUGGGCCCACUCAGCCUCAACGGCUGGGGCCUGGCCGUUGGAAGGUGGCGCUGAAGGGAGGAGAGGUUAAGAGAUGGCUGGAAAACAGCUUGUAUUUCCCUCUCUGUAACCAGGGCUUGGCGUGAGGAGUUACUCAGGGGUCUGCCCUGAGGUGAAGGCGUGGUGGGACCUGGUGCUCCCUGUGGCUCUUUUCCACCACCCCUGCCAGCAGAGGCACUGGCUGCUUCACAUCACCCCAGGUCCUGCAGAGCCGCUGCCCCAGUGUAUGACUGGAAGAAAAAUUCUGCUCAUUUAAAGGACCAUAGAGUUGUGCUUUAAAGGUUUCAGAUGACAGACUGCAACUGCAUAGUGUGGUCAUUCUUUUGGCUCAUUGUCCUGGUGUUUCUUGGCUGGCCCAUAAGCAUACUCAUGUGUGCCCUUCAUGGAUUCCUUUCUCCUCUGGCUACUUUAAUAGGACUAGAUGAAUUAAGUGAAGCAUUGCUGAAGGGUGCAUGUCUGGGGAGGCAGUGUGCUCAGAAUGUGCGCAAUGGCAAGUCCCCGUGUUAAGCAAUGAGGACAGCCCUGCAUCAGACAAGCACUCAACUGUAUACAAUGGAAUUUCAUUGUUUACUCUAUUAAUCUCAUAUUUUUUAACUCCAAAUUUUUUUUCUUAGUAUUUCAGUGUUUACAUUUCUCUUUAGAGUGUCUAGAAACCUUAACACUUCAGAGGCUUGUCUCUGAGAAUAUAAAAUACAAGUUGCAGCUAUUGUUUUCAAAAUGGGUAAUGAUACUGUGUACAUGGAGAAGGUAGCUAAGUGCUUAUCUCAGGAUUUGAGCUUAGUGUCAAAAUCUAUUUAAGUGGGAGAUGAUGGAAUGCACCUAAUGGGUGCGACUAAGACACCCAAGAAGAAUAGAUUCUGAAUUGGAAAUUUAUUUUUGUGAAUGUUUUAAUCUCCAGUGUACAUUGCUCAAUAGUAAGAGAAGUAAAAUUCUGAUCUGAGGUCUUUGGAGUGUCCGUGUUUUCAUAUAUAUGUUUCGGUGCCUUUUUAGUUUAUUUCCUUUGCAAUAGACUUUAGAAAUAUUUUGUAUUAUGAUGUUAUUUUGUAUUAAUUUCUUGUGAACAACAGUUUUUCAGUGGAACAACAUUGCUGAUGGGUGGGCUGUAUGCACUGAUUUCAAGUAUAUUAAAUAAAGAAAGAAUUUCUGUAAACACUUUCCUUAUCUCCUACUUUGUCCUUCUGUUUUGGCAUAUUUUUAUGAUCCAUUGAACACUAAGCAUUAUCCAACCAUUUACUUGUAAUACUUGUGAUUUCCAAGAAUUUGAAUAGGUCUAUAGAGAAAGUAUUUUUUAUUUUGCUUUUUAUGUCCCAU